rnacentral:rRNA from 1 species
ACGGGUGAGUAACACGUAGGUAACCUACCCUUCAGUGGGGGACAACAGAGGGAAACUUCUGCUAAUACCGCAUACGAUCACGGACUGGGAUGUUCGCGGUGAAAGGAUUUAUUCGCUGAGGGAUGGGCCUGCGGCCUAUCAGGUAGUUGGUGGGGUAAUGGCCUACCAAGCCUGCGACGGGUAGCCGGACUGAGAGGUCGAUCGGCCACACUGGAACUGAGACACGGUCCAGACUCCUACGGGAGGCAGCAGUGGGGAAUAUUGCACAAUGGGGGAAACCCUGAUGCAGCGACGCCGCGUGGAGGAUGACGGCCUUCGGGUUGUAAACUCCUUUUGUCGGGGACAAUGGUGAUGGUACCCGACGAAUAAGCCACGGCUAACUCUGUGCCAGCAGCCGCGGUAAGACAGAGGUGGCGAGCGUUGUUCGGAAUUACUGGGCUUAAAGGGCGCGUAGGCGGUGGUGUAAGUCUAGGGUGGAAUGCUACAGCUCAACUGUAGAGCUGCCUUGGAAACUGCAUUACUUGAGUCGGUGAGGGGAAGGUGGAAUUCCAGGU